AGCCAGCUUGUCGAGUGAAUAAGAUGACCCGAAAUAUUCCAACCCUAUAAAAUGGUAGGCAGCUGCCCAAACGGAAGGAUCAGUCGG
rnacentral:antisense_RNA from 1 species